rnacentral:rRNA from 1 species
CAGAUCCAAUUUUCUGCCACCGAAUACAUUAGCAUGGGAUAAUGGAAUAGGACCCUGUCCUCCUAUUUUCAGUUGGUUUUGGCAGCGCGAGGACUAGGGUAAUGAUUAAUAGGGAUAGUUGGGGGCAUUAAUAUUUAAUUGUCAGAGGUGAAAUUCUUGGAUUUAUGAAAGAUUAACUUCUGCGAAAGCAUCUGCCAAGGAUGUUUUCAUUAAUCAAGAACGAAAGUUAGGGGAUCGAAGACGAUCAGAUACCGUCGUAGUCUUAACCAUAAACGAUGCCGACCAGCGAUUAGGAGACGUUGAAUACAAAACACCACCAUCGGGGCGGUCGUCCUUGGCGUCUGUUUCGGCCGGUGCGGGGGUGGCUUAUCCCGGUGGCACCCGUGAAUGACUCCCCUAGAACCUUGUGA